ACGAACGCUGGUGGCAUGCCUAACACAUGCAAGUCGAACGAGGUUUCCGCUUCGGUGGGGGCCUAGUGGCGCACUGGUGAGUAACGCGUGGGAACCUGCCCCGUGGUACGGAAUAACUCCGGGAAACUGGAGCUAAUACCGUAUGCGUCCUCCGGGACAAAGAUUUAUCGCCAUGGGAGGGGCCCGCGUAGGAUUAGCUUGUUGGCGGGGUAACGGCCCACCAAGGCUUCGAUCCUUAGCUGGUCUGAGAGGAUGAUCAGCCACACUGGGACUGAGACACGGCCCAGACUCCUACGGGAGGCAGCAGUGGGGAAUAUUGGACAAUGGGCGCAAGCCUGAUCCAGCAAUGCCGCGUGAGUGAUGAAGGCCUUCGGGUUGUAAAGCUCUUUCGCACGCGACGAUGAUGACGGUAGCGUGAGAAGAAGCUCCGGCUAACUUCGU
rnacentral:rRNA from 1 species